rnacentral:lncRNA from 1 species
UGGGGUGGCCCCAAUCAAACCCUAGCGUGGAGAUGCUUGGGCAUUAUGCUUAAAUCUGAUGUCAAUGGUGGUUUCUUGAAGGAUCAAGACCUUGAUUUAAAGGUCCUCACUUGGUCGUGGCUCCAUAAAUCCUAAUCGGGUCAAGCUCCUUUUAUGUGGCCUCCUAACCCUAGUUUCGGCUGGCACAUCAUCAUUCAGGAUGCUUAAUCUCCUUGUUUGGUUAAAUGGCAUUCAACAACUUCUUGUUCCUAGUUCAUUCAGGUGAAGAAAUUCCAUUCAUUACAUGAUCAU